rnacentral:sRNA from 1 species
UCUGGCACGGAUGCCGGUGGUUCCAAACAGAAACGAGUUUUUUGCUUUGUAAAAAACUCGCAGUCAAAAAUGUACAAGGAUGUAUAUUUUUGACGAGGU